rnacentral:rRNA from 1 species
UGGGGAAUAUUGCACAAUGGGCGCAAGCCUGAUGCAGCCAUGCCGCGUGUGUGAAGAAGGCCUUCGGGUUGUAAAGCACUUUCAGCGAGGAGGAAGGUGGUGAACUUAAUACGUUCAUCAAUUGACGUUACUCGCAGAAGAAGCACCGGCUAACUCCGUGCCAGCAGCCGCGGUAAUACGGAGGGUGCAAGCGUUAAUCGGAAUUACUGGGCGUAAAGCGCACGCAGGCGGUUUGUUAAGUCAGAUGUGAAAUCCCCGGGCUCAACCUGGGAACUGCAUUUGAAACUGGCAAGCUAGAGUCUCGUAGAGGGGGGUAGAAUUCCAGGUGUAGCGGUGAAAUGCGUAGAGAUCUGGAGGAAUACCGGUGGCGAAGGCGGCCCCCUGGACGAAGACUGACGCUCAGGUGCGAAAGCGUGGGGCAGCAAACAGGAUUAGAUACCCUGGUAGUCCACGCUGUAAACGAUGUCGAUUUUGGAGGUUGUGCCCUUGAGGCGUGGCUUCCGGAGCUAACGCGUUAAAUCGACCGCCUGGGGAGUACGGCCGCAA